rnacentral:piRNA from 1 species
UGCCAAUAGGAUAUGUGAGACCCAACAUGGUA